rnacentral:rRNA from 1 species
GACAGAGGGUGCAAACGUUGUUCGGAAUUACUGGGCGUAAAGCGAGCGCAGGCGGUCGUGUAAGACAGAUGUGAAAUCCCCGGGCUCAACCUGGGAACUGCAUUUGUGACUGCACGGCUAGAGUGCGUCAGAGGGGGGUGGAACUCCACGUGUAGCAGUGAAAUGCGUAGAGAUGUGGAAGAACACCGAUGGCGAAGGCAGCCCCCUGGGAUGACACUGACGCUCAUGCUCGAAAGCGUGGGGAGCAAACAGG